CAAGGCAGCUUGUGGCGAGCUGUUGGGCAGUGGCGACCCCACGGACCUGACUCCCGGGAGAGGCCCUACUUUUUAACUCCGGUUAGUACUCGUGACUAUCCGGAGUGGCCUCUCCUACCUCACUCUUGCCUUAAUCGGCUGGUUUGAGUGGAGAUUCGCAAGAGUGGAGUUGCCUUCAGCUCCACUUGGGGGAAGGACGUAUCCCAGUAAGAUGCUGGUAGGGGUCUUGACCGUACUUCCGGGAUUGCUCUGAUAGCCGUGGGAUGCCCCCCCUUCCUCAAGCAGCUCAACGGAUGUUGCUUCCCUUGUCGCUACAUGCUAGCGGCCGUUUCCGGGGGCCCACUAUUGAGUUUGCGAGUCACCCCCUGCCUGUUUAUCCGUAUGUAUCAAUAUUGGUCAGGGGCAGGGGCCAUAGUCCCCAUAGUUAACCGGUUAACUAUUCCACAGCCACCCACACCCAUAUCCCUAUCAUUUCCUUUUACCAUAUCUCGCAAUAGUCCUGCAUCAACCGGGGAUUGUCCUUUGGUGUACUUCCAUAGUGCAUACAGGGAUAAUCGCCGGCUGAUGUCCCAUUACAUUUAGAUCAAAAUUGUUCAACGGGCCUCUGCGAGUUGGGUUCGGCCCCUCGUACGCCUUCCAAAGGUCCGGGACCCUGUGGUCCCGAGAUUAUGUAAAGAACAGACAUAAUAAUAAUAAGUCCGCAAGGCAGCUUGUGGCGAGCUGUUGGGCAGUGGCGACCCCACGGACCUGACUCCCGGGAGAGGCCCUACUUUUUAACUCCGGUUGGUACUCGUGACUAUCCGGAGUGGCCUCUCCUACCUCACUCUUGCCUUAAUCGGCUGGUUUGAGUGGAGAUUCGCAAGAGUGGAGUUGCCUUCAGCUCCACUUGGGGGAAGGACGUAUCCCAGUAAGAUGCUGGUAGGGGUCUUGACCGUACUUCCGGGAUUGCUCUGAUAGCCGUGGGAUGCCUCCCCUUCCUCAAGCAGCUCAACGGAUGUUGCUUCCCUUGUCGCUACAUGCUAGCGGCCGUUUCCGGGGGCCCACUAUUGAGUUUGCGAGUCACCCCCUGCCUGUUUAUCCGUAUUUUUCAAUAUUGGUCAGGGGCAGGGGCCAUAGUCCCCAUAGUUAACCGGUUAACUAUUCCACAGCCACCCACACCCAUAUCCCUAUCAUUUCCUUUUACCAUAUCUCACAAUAGUCCUGCAUCAACCGGGGAUUGUCCUUUGGUGUACUUCCAUAGUGCAUACAGGGAUAAUCGCCGGCUGAUGUCCCAUUACAUUUAGAUCAAAAUUGUUCAACGGGCCUCUGCGAGUUGGCUUCGGCCCCUCGUACGCCUUCCAAAGGUCCGGGACCCUGUGGUCCCGUGAUUAUGUAAAGAACAGACAUAAUAAUAAUAAGUCCGCAAGGCAGCUUGUGGCGAGCUGUUGGGCAGUGGCGACCCCACGGACCUGACUCCCGGGAGAGGCCCUACUUUUUAACUCCGGUUGGUACUCGUGACUAUCCGGAGUGGCCUCUCCUACCUCACUCUUGCCUUAAUCGGCUGGUUUGAGUGGAGAUUCGCAAGAGUGGAGUUGCCUUCAGCUCCACUUGGGGGAAGGACGUAUCCCAGUAAGAUGCUGGUAGGGGUCUUGACCGUACUUCCGGGAUUGCUCUGAUAGCCGUGGGAUGCCUCCCCUUCCUCAAGCAGCUCAACGGAUGUUGCUUCCCUUGUCGCUACAUGCUAGCGGCCGUUUCCGGGGCCCACUAUUGAGUUUGCGAGUCACCCCCUGCCUGUUUAUCCGUAUUUUUCAAUAUUGGUCAGGGGCAGGGGCCAUAGUCCCCAUAGUUAACCGGUUAACUAUUCCACAGCCACCCACACCCAUAUCCCUAUCAUUUCCUUUUACCAUAUCUCACAAUAGUCCUGCAUCAACCGGGGAUUGUCCUUUGGUGUACUUCCAUAGUGCAUACAGGGAUAAUCGCCGGCUGAUGUCCCAUUACAUUUAGAUCAAAAUUGUUCAACGGGCCUCUGCGAGUUGGCUUCGGCCCCUCGUACGCCUUCCAAAGGUCCGGGACCCUGUGGUCCCGAGAUUAUGUAAAGAACAGACAUAAUAAUAAUAAGUCCGCAAGGCAGCUUGUGGCGAGCUUCCGCAAGGCAGCUUGUGGCGAGCUGUUGGGCAGUGGCGACCCCACGGACCUGACUCCCGGGAGAGGCCCUACUUUUUAACUCCGGUUGGUACUCGUGACUAUCCGGAGUGGCCUCUCCUACCUCACUCUUGCCUUAAUCGGCUGGUUUGAGUGGAGAUUCGCAAGAGUGGAGUUGCCUUCAGCUCCACUUGGGGGAAGGACGUAUCCCAGUAAGAUGCUGGUAGGGGUCUUGACCGUACUUCCGGGAUUGCUCUGAUAGCCGUGGGAUGCCUCCCCUUCCUCAAGCAGCUCAACGGAUGUUGCUUCCCUUGUCGCUACAUGCUAGCGGCCGUUUCCGGGGGCCCACUAUUGAGUUUGCGAGUCACCCCCUGCCUGUUUAUCCGUAUUUCAAUAUUGGUCAGGGGCAGGGGCCAUAGUCCCCAUAGUUAACCGGUUAACUAUUCCACAGCCACCCACACCCAUAUCCCUAUCAUUUCCUUUUACCAUAUCUCACAAUAGUCCUGCAUCAACCGGGGAUUGUCCUUUGGUGUACUUCCAUAGUGCAUACAGGGAUAAUCGCCGGCUGAUGUCCCAUUACAUUUAGAUCAAAAUUGUUCAACGGGCCUCUGCGAGUUGGCUUCGGCCCCUCGUACGCCUUCCAAAGGUCCGGGACCCUGUGGUCCCGUGAUUAUGUAAAGAACAGACAUAAUAAUAAAUAAUUAAUAA